AUGGGCGAUACUGCAUUUGGAAAGAAGAUGAGAACUGAUGCUGGAGUUGGUUCAUCCAUUACCUCAGGUCCAUGGGCCCAAUUUUCUAGAAUGCCAGUUGGAACUAUACCAUUUUCAAUCAACAGUGCCUUUGAGUUUCAGAUUGUUAAUGGUGUACCCACUUGGAAGCCCAGACCUGUUACUCGGCUCAGCGUAACUAAGAUUUUCUCUAAGUCAGAUCUUAAGAGAAUUUUGAUUGACAAGAUGAAGAGCGAUUUGAAGGAGAAGGUAAGUGAGAUACGAAGUAGGCCAAUCCAAGCUACUGUUGAUUGUCCAGCGAGCAAGAAAUAUGUUGAGGUUAGCAAAGCAACAGUUGAUUCUACUGCAAAUAAAGAUGUUUGA
rnacentral:rRNA from 1 species